CGUAGGGUGCAAGCGUUAAUCGGAAUUACUGGGCGUAAAGCGUGCGCAGGCGGUUUUGUAAGUCUGUCGUGAAAUCCCCGGGCUCAACCUGGGAAUUGCGAUGGAGACUGCAUGGCUAGAAUCUGGCAGAGGGGGGUAGAAUUCCACGUGUAGCAGUGAAAUGCGUAGAGAUGUGGAGGAACACCGAUGGCGAAGGCAGCCCCCUGGGUCAAGAUUGACGCUCAUGCACGAAAGCGUGGGGAGCAAACAGGAUUAGAUACCCUGGUAGUCCACGCCCUAAACGAUGUCUACUAGUUGUCGGGUUUUAAUUAACUUGGUAACGCAGCUAACGCGUGAAGUAGUCCGCCUGGGGAGUACGGUCGCAAGAUUA
rnacentral:rRNA from 1 species